UUACAAGGCCAUGAAUCGCUCUGUAUCUGUCUGUACAUGGUCUUUAACAUCUGGAUUCCUUGGACAUCUGCCUGAAAAUCGUCACUACACACAGCAAAUGGAAGGCCACCGCCUCAAACAGCAACCAGCCUUGCUCACAGUUCACUUGAAGGCAGAGGCCUCUCAGCUCGUUCUGGGCCCAGAGAAUCAGAUUUGACUUCCUGUAGAGAAGUUUCCCAACAAGAAGAUGGGUGAGAAUCUAGUACAGGAAAUUUGUGAACAAUAGUUAACACCACCAACAGCAGAAAGGGUGUGCAUGAAAUUCCUGUGGACUUCUCUGGGAGUCUGAAGAUUUUGCUCGAUGAGCCAACUAAUUACCACAAGACAUAGCAAAGGAAGGAAUCUCCCAGGAUCUUGGCCAAGGAUGUUCCUUAAACAUUUCCCAGCAAUCCAGCAAGGCAAACCUGUCAAGCUGUCAGGAGCCAUAAACAUUUAAUCAUGAGAACCAGAAGAGGACUACAGAGCUUAGUGGCUUCUCCUUAAAACUAGCCUUCAGAAUACAUUUGGAGCAACACAUCAUUAUUCUCUUAUUUUGUGAUCCGUUAUAUCUGACUGUGAACAACA